GUCUCUUCGGACACCUCCGAUAAAUAGGAAUGAUAUAGAGAAGAUUAGCAUGCUCCUGUGCAAUGAUAACUUGCACAAAUCGAGAAAUAGUCCAAAUUUUU
rnacentral:snRNA from 1 species